rnacentral:rRNA from 1 species
CCUACGAGAGGCAGCAGUAGGGAAUUUUCGUCAAUGGGCGCAAGCCUGAACGAGCAAUGCCGCGUGAACGAGGAAGGUCUUCGGAUCGUAAAGUUCUGUUGAAGGGGAAAAAGAGCGGAGAGAGGAAAUGCUUUCUGAUUGAUAUUACCCUUCGAGGAAGUCACGGCUAACUACGUGCCAGCAGCCGCGGUAAUACGUAGGUGGCGGGCGUUAUCCGGAAUGAUGGGGCGUAAGGGGGGGGUAGGCGGCCUGCUAAGUCUGGAGUGAAAGGUACCGGCUCAACCGGUACAGGCUCUGGAAACUGGCGGGCUAGAGAGCAGGAGAGGGCGGUGGAACUCCAUGUGUAGCGGUAAAAUGCGUAGAUAUAUGGAAGAACACCAGUGGCGAAGGCGGCCGCCUGGCCUGUUACUGACGCUGAGGCACGAAAGCGUGGGGAGCAAAUAGGAUUAGAUACCCCAGUAGUC